AGCGAACGCUGGCGGCAGGCUUAACACAUGCAAGUCGAGCGGGCCCUUCGGGGUCAGCGGCGGACGGGUGAGUAACGCGUGGGAACGUGCCUUCUGGUCUGGAAUAACCCUGGGAAACUAGGGCUAAUACCGGAUACGCCCUUUUGGGGAAAGGUUUACUGCCGAAAGAUCGGCCCGCGUCUGAUUAGCUAGUUGGUGGGGUAACGGCCUACCAAGGCGACGAUCAGUAGCUGGUCUGAGAGGAGGAUCAGCCACACUGGGACUGAGACACGGCCCAGACUCCUACGGGAGGCAGCAGUGGGGAAUAUUGGACAAUGGGCGCAAGCCUGAUCCAGCCAUGCCGCGUGAGUGAUGAAGGCCUUAGGGUUGUAAAGCUCUUUUAUCCGGGACGAUAAUGACGGUACCGGAGGAAUAAGCCCCGGCUAACUCCGUGCCAGCAGCCGCCGUAA
rnacentral:rRNA from 1 species